GUAUUUAUUUUUAAAUAUAAUUAAUUUUAUGUAAGUUUGGUUGCCUAUACCAAUGGUACCCUUACCACAAAUAACGUUAAAUCAAUUUAUGAAACUGUGCGCAUAUACUUCGAUAAGAAGUGGAAAUGAAAAAGGAAUGCGAGCGAUCCACGAGAACGAGAUCGAAUAUUGUAUUUGGCGUACCAGAUUGAUACCGAUUUUAUUGGCCGCAAGCUGCCCACAUUUUGUAGUAAUUUUUUUUGUGUUUGAAAAAACCCUCAUCGAGGGUUUUUUUUUUGUACUAUAAGAAAUUGAAUUGAGCCUAUAUCCUGCACAAGAAUAAUUAGAGAAUCCAGAUUUUUACUGCGACAGAAACAGCAGCGUUUCUUUUCAACACUGUCUAAUUUCCAAUCACCGAAUCUCACGCCAACAUUGCGGAUGGUUCAACUCCAACUUCACAGAAGAUAAGAUAGCGACUCAAAAAUAAGGCGAGUUCGUUCCAUUUUUUUAGACGGUAUCGUUUGCUAAAUUGGCCCCUUUUUUUUCUUUUUCUGUACAAUAGUAAAUAGUAUCACCAAUCUACUAACACUCUUCUUAGUAUUAAAAAAUUUCACAUUUUUAUACUACUCUAAUUGAUGUAAAUAAACUGGUUUUUGUGUUACGGUCUCAACCCCGUAAAUUUGUUAUUAUCAUUAAGGUUGAGUGGCGCCCAGACGCCCCAGUGUUCAA